UACGUAGGGUGCGAGCGUUGUUCGGAAUCACUGGGCGUAAAGCGCGUGUAGGCGGCCUUUUAAGUCUGAUGUGAAAGCCCCGGGCUCAACCUGGGAACUGCAUCUAAUACUGACUAGCUUGAGUAGAAUAGAGGGGAGUGGAAUUUCCGGUGUAGCGGUGGAAUGCGUAGAUAUCAUUUGGAACGCCAAUGGUGAAAACAGCUCGCUGGGGGUUUGCUGACGCUGAGACACGAAAGCCAGGGGAGCAAACGGG
rnacentral:rRNA from 1 species